ACUGGCAUGGGUUUGAGCAACACCAUGGCGCGUCUGGGCAGCAUCAUUGCCCCAUUGGUGAAGAUGUUGGAGGAAUACAUUCCCUUCCUGCCACUGAUUAUUUAUGGAGCUGUCCCAAUCAUCUCCGGCAUUGCAGCGACCUUCCUGCCCGAGACGCUCAACGUGCCAUUGCCUGAGACCAUAGAGGAGGUGGAGACACGACCCAGGCAUCUGAGAGAUGAAGAACAAGAAAUGAAGAUCCUUCUGAAACCCACCAUGCCAGACUCAGCCAAGGAAGCCAGUUAAGGAAAGAAAAACGAGCAACUGUUGUAGGGGCUAUGGGUACAAUUUUCAAAAGUGCCUAAGUGCCUUAGGAGCCUACGUUCCAUUUUCACCAGUGACUUAGCCACUCCCAUGAGAGUUAAGUGCCUUAUCUACCUGAGCACUUCUGAUAAUCCCACUGGGCACUUAUCUGAAUCUCUUGGCACCUAAAUACCUUGGAAAAUGUGGCUCCCAAUCAUUUUUGAAAGUGGGGGCUUAGGCACUUUUGAAGACUCCGCCCUAUCUCUUUUACUGUUUUAAUCAUGCCAGAAGUACUAUGCAGGCAUCAGUGACAACUCCAUAGGGGUUGAAUUUUGCACUUAAUGCAGGGAAUCAGCCUCUUCAAACAGCAUGUUGACCUCCAAAUCACAGCAGGAAUUUAUACCACGGGACCUGCUGCUGUGCAAGGUGGGGGACACGAAUCAAUUACUCUAUGUAGCUCCUCCAUGUAGUUCAAAAGCUAGUGUUGCACUCUGCUGGGAUCCAACAUAUGGUACCCAAGAGCUCAGCAAAUACUUUCGGGCCAGAUCCUCAGCAUGUCUUAAUCCACGUAGUUGAGGAUUGGCCCAGUACUGCAGGACAGUCACGUGGUGGCAAUUCUUAAGGGAAUUCUGUAAGAAUAUGUACAG